UUCAAAAAGCCGAAAAAAUCCCGCGUUCGCAUUCUGCUCUUGCUUGUGUUCGUCAAGUCAAGAGGCAGCCAAAAGAUUUUGGUAGAGGAAGUUUUUACAAAGAACUCCAUUGAUAAUCAGUGAAAUUGACGGCAAGAAGAAGGGAGAACACAAGAAGAGAUCGAUUAUUCCACUGUUCCACCCGUACCAGCGUUGUUCGACUGAGAGCACAAGAAUCACUUGACCGAGAAAUUGAUGGCAUACCAAAAUUGUACGACUUAGGAAAGCUUCGUACUACCAUUACUCGUUUGGGAGUUCUCCAUGGAGAUGUAAGUCAAUCGAUUGAGAGAAGGGAAAACUUGUUUCCACCGAUUGGGGAAGCUCUGUACCAACAUCGGUAGUUAUAUUACUUCAACAAGAAGCUGAUGAUAGAUAGCAAGGCCAACUUAGGAUGUUUCUCGUGCAAGUCUGACUACAAAGCUCUCACAGGCCAACCAUCUCAGCCCGCUCCAUGGGCUUGGAUUUGACAGGUCCCCACCAAGGAAUCAGUAUUGAUGGUGUGCAAUCCGGCCGGUCUUUGCUGUCAAUGAUCUUGCCUCUAAACCGGGUGGCAGGGACCUGAAACGGAGGGAGAAGAGAUGCUCCGGGGAGAACCUGGCGUGAGGGCUCCGAAGCUCAAGUUAGAGUCUUUCAAAGGCAAGAUAGACUAGAUAGCGCGAAAGUUAGCAUACCUCGUUU